GAGAGAGAGAGAGAGAACGAUCGGGCCCGCGCAUUAAUAAUGCACCGGUGGCUUCCGGUCGACGGACACAAAUGGGCCGACGAUCGUCCCAGGUAGCCACGGCAAGCGAUCCGCCUGCAUAUUUCAUUUCGACUCGAACUGGAAUCGAGAGGUCCAUAAGCCGGCCGUUCGACGAUACGUCACCCUUCGAGCAUCCAAGAUCGACCGCCUCCUCUCCAACUU